CUUGAAUGGAAAAAUAUGCAUGGAAAAUAAAAUAUGAAUGGAAAAUGCAAAGCUCACUUAAUAAAUUAGUGAAUUCAAACAGGAAAGAGGAACUGUGUUGUUCUGUAAAAGCACUGACUUUGCACAAGCGUUUUGCUUCUCAUGAGUCCUUUGUUUCAAUCUACUCAUUUUACAUGUUCCUAUGCUUAGUCAAUUCUCAAGGUGUCUGUGAAUUCUUUUUUGUAUAUUUUUUGAGACAGUUUUGCUACUCAGCUGUGGUUGGCCUUGAAUUCAGUCUUACCCUGCCUUACAGCAUCUCAAGGAUAUAAUGGCAGAUGUGAGCUCCCACACCUAGUUUAGCAUUUCUUACACUGCUUGCUAGAGGCAGUGUCUGCUGGACUUGCACCUCUCUUGGAAUUUCCUUUCUCCUUGAAAAGAAAGCUGAUUGGUUGCCUUUACAUUUCAGUUUUUUGAUAGGGGAAAAAUGUAUUCUCUUGUACUUUUGUAAAUAAAGCUAAAUUAAUAUUCUAU
rnacentral:lncRNA from 1 species